UACGGAAGGCAGCAGUGGGGAAUAUUGCACAAUGGGCGCAAGCCUGAUGCAGCCAUGCCGCGUGUAUGAAGGAGGCCUUCGGGUUGUAAAGUACUUUCAGUCGUGAGGAAGGUGUUAAGGUUAAUAACCUCAGCAAUUGACGUUAGCGACAGAAGAAGCACCGGCUAACUCCGUGCCAGCAGCCGCGGUAAUACGGAGGGUGCGAGCGUUAAUCGGAAUUACUGGGCGUAAAGGGCACGCAGGCGGUUAAUUAAGUUGGAUGUGAAAUCCCCGGGCUUAACCUGGGAAUGGCAUUCAAGACUGGUUAGCUAGAGUCUUGUAGAGGGGGUAGAAUUCCAUGUGUAGCGGUGAAAUGCGUAGAGAUGUGGAGGAAUACCGGUGGCGAAGGCGGCCCCUGGGACAAAGACUGACGCUCAUGUGCGAAAGCGUGGGGAGCGAAACAGGAUUAGAU
rnacentral:rRNA from 1 species